CGGGGGAUAACAGCUGGAAACGGCUGCUAAUACCGCAUAAGCGCACAGAGCUGCAUGGCUCGGUGUGAAAAACUCCGGUGGUAUGGGAUGGGCCCGCGUCUGAUUAGGCAGUUGGCGGGGUAACGGCCCACCAAACCGACGAUCAGUAGCCGGCCUGAGAGGGCGACCGGCCACAUUGGGACUGAGACACGGCCCAAACUCCUACGGGAGGCAGCAGUGGGGAAUAUUGCACAAUGGGGGAAACCCUGAUGCAGCGACGCCGCGUGAGCGAAGAAGUAUUUCGGUAUGUAAAGCUCUAUCAGCAGGGAAGAUAAUGACGGUACCUGACUAAGAAGCCCCGGCUAACUACGUGCCAGCAGCCGCGGUAAUACGUAGGGGGCAAGCGUUAUCCGGAUUUACUGGGUGUAAAGGGAGCGUAGACGGCAAGGCAAGUCUGAUGUGAAAACCCAGGGCUUAACCCUGGGACUGCAUUGGAAACUGUCUGGCUCGAGUGCCGGAGAGGUAAGCGGAAUUCCUAGUGUAGCGGUGAAAUGCGUAGAUAUUAGGAAGAACACCAGUGGCGAAGGCGGCUUACUGGACGGUAACUGACGUUGAGGCUCGAAAGCGUGGGGAGCAAACAGGAUUAGAUACCCUGGUAGUCCACGCCGUAAACG
rnacentral:rRNA from 1 species